rnacentral:rRNA from 1 species
AUGCAAGUGGUGCGACGAACMGGGCUUGCCCUGGGGCWAAGCCGCGAACGGGUGAGUAACACGUGAGUAAYCUGCCCCGAUGACCGGGACAACCCGAGGAAACUCGGGCUAAUACCGGAUGUGGYGCACRGRUMUAAGYCUGUKYRCUAAAGGAAGCUUCGGCCUCCGCAUUGGGAGGRGCUCGCGGCCCAUUAGCUUGUUGGUGGGGUAACGGCCUACCAAGGCAACGAUGGGUAGCUGGUCUGAGAGGACGAUCAGCCACACUGGGACUGAGACACGGCCCAGACUCCUACGGGAGGCAGCAGUGGGGAAUCUUGCGCAAUGCGCGAAAGCGUGACGCAGCAACGCCGCGUGGGGGAAGACGGCCUUCGGGUUGUAAACCCCUUUCAGGAGGGACGAAGGUUCACCGGUGAAUAGCCGUGUGGAUUGACGGUACCUCCASAAGAAGCUCCGGCUAACUACGUGCCAGCAGCCGCGGUAAUACGUAGGGAGCAAGCGUUGUCCGGAAUCAUUGGGCGUAAAGCGCGCGUAGGUGGCUCUAUAAGUCCGUUGUGAAAGUCAAAGGCUCAACCUUUGAAAGCCGAUGGAUACUGUAGAGCUAGAGUACGGAAGAGGCGAGUGGAAUUCCUGGUGUAGCGGUGGAAUGCGCAGAUAUCAGGAGGAACACCAAUAGCGAAGGCAGCUCGCUGGGACGUUACUGACACUAAGGCGCGAAAGCGUGGGGAGCGAACAGGAUUAGAUACCCUGGUAGUCCACGCCGUAAACGAUGGGCAUUAGGUGUGGGAGGUG